UACGUAGGGGGCAAGCGUUGUCCGGAAUCAUUGGGCGUAAAGCGCACGUAGGCGGCCCUGUAAGUCCGUUGUGAAAGUCAAAGGCUCAACCUUUGAAUGCCGAUGGAUACUGUAGGGCUAGAGUCCGGAAGAGGCGAGUGGAAUUCCUGGUGUAGCGGUGGAAUGCGCAGAUAUCAGGAGGAACACCAAUAGCGAAGGCAGCUCGCUGGGACGGUACUGACGCUAAGGUGCGAAAGCGUGGGGAGCGAACAGG
rnacentral:rRNA from 1 species